AGAGUUUGGAUCCUGGCUCAGGAUGAACGCUGGCGGUAUGCUUAACACAUGCAAGUCGAACGGGAUCUCAGAAAUGGGGUUCAGUGGCGGACGGGUGAGUAACGCGUGAGAAUCUGGCUUCAGGUUCGGGACAACCACUGGAAACGGUGGCUAAUACCGGAUAUGCCGAGAGGUGAAAGAUAUAUUGCCUGAAGAUGAGCUCGCGUCUGAUUAGCUAGUUGGUAGGGUAAUGGCCUACCAAGGCGGCGAUCGGUAACUGGUCUGAGAGGAUGACCAGUCACACUGGGACUGAGACACGGCCAGACUCCUACGGGAGGCAGCAGUGGGGAAUUUUCCGCAAUGGGCGAAAGCCUGACGGAGCAAUACCGCGUGGGGGAUGAAGGCUCUUGGGUUGUAAACCCCUUUUCUCAGGGAAGAAAAAAAUGACGGUACCUGAGGAAUAAGCAUCGGCUAACUCCGUGCCAGCAGCCGCGGUAAUACGGAGGAUGCAAGCGUUAUCCGGAAUGAUUGGGCGUAAAGCGUCUGUAGGUGGUUUAGCA
rnacentral:rRNA from 1 species